rnacentral:lncRNA from 1 species
AUGACAACCAAGACCCGACACCCCCCUCCCCCCGCAUUCUCCGCUGAUUCGCCGGUGGUUUCCAGGCAACAGCUAUACAAAUCCAGGAAAACACCCGGAAAAGACCCUGGGCCAUGGAAUAACUCGAACUUAAGCAGAAUAGAAGGGUGGAAACAUGGCGACCUCUUCGCUUCCUCUCUUAGAAAACACAGACUCUCUGAAGCUGAAGGUGGAAAACAAAACGAGGAACAUCUUUGUGACACAGUCGGCUCAGACCAGACGUCUAGUAGAAUUCUAGAGGCAGGAGUGAACACAUUGCAAAAGACCCUGGUUCUGAAGAAACAGGCUGAGUUGGACGAGGUGGACAAGCAACUUGCACUGAAACGGCAGGAGUUUAAAGGGCAGGUGGAAGCUCUGGCUCAGAAACGGUCUGAACUGGAACUGAAACACCAGCAGACCAAAGACAGGGCCAUGAAAUUUGAAAAGUUCGUGGCUGAAAACGAGCUGAAGCGGCGGCGGGCGCUGAAGAAGUUCGAGGUCACGCGGGAGCAGAACAUCCUGAAGCAGGCGGAGAUUGAAGAGCUGAGCAAUGGGCUCAGACGGCUGCAGACCAGAGGUCAAGUUUUAAAGGAGAGAAUUGCAAAAUAUAAAAUCUAUGAGGACUACUUGAUGAGAACACUGAGUCAUCUCCCCAGCAGUUACCUCGAUAACGGCUCUGAGUCUUUGGUGAUGCCAAUCAUUCGGCGCCACGAGACUCUGUCCAUCAUCAACCAGGAGCUGCUGCGGCGCCUGGAGCGUCUGGAGCUGGAGACGGAGCAGGGUCAACAGCGGCUGCAGACCAUGCAGCAGGAGCACAGCGUCAAAUCACUGUUGGCCAACAAAGAACUGUCUGAACUUCAGAGCGAGUUAGAGGUUCUUAAGGAGAAAAACAAACAGGAGGAGGCGAACCUGCUGAUGGAGCAAGGCCUCUCCAGGGAGAAGGUCGAGGAAGUGGGAAGAUUGCUUAUGGCCAUCAGUAACCUAGCAGAGCAGUGUUACCUGCCGGCAUAUGGACCUCUACAAAACAUGAACCUACUGACGAUGCUGGAUAUGGUGAAGGAAUACAUCCUGGACAAGGCCGACACCGAGAGGAGAGCGAGGAAGCUGAUGCGGUCGGCGUCUGCAGCGACGAACAAGGCGGCAGCUGUAACUGACAAGAGGUGGAGGGGAUCGAAGAAAAGCAUCGACAGUAAAACGCACUUGAAAAGUUCAAGUAAAGUCAGUAAAAAAAGUGACUCGGUGAAUUGA